AUCUGUUCUUAAUCAGUGAGUUACUAACUAAACAUCAUUACUUCAGUUGUAUUGUAUAUCCAAGUCUACAAAUAUACCUUCCCCUUCAACAACAUCUUCUCUUCCUCUAACAGCUUUUCCUGUUCAAAAUCAAGGUAUAAAUAAGGUUUGAGAAUCAACGGAAUCAUCUGCUUGGACUGCAAAUGGGCAUAACUUUUAACACAAAGGCAUGCCGAUACAACAAAACAGUUGGCUGAUCCGCUUACCUGUGUCUCACAACUUUGACUUGAGGGGCCUGCAUCUGUCUCAGUCCGACUAUGAUAUCGUUGCAGGAUCUCACUCAAGCUGGAUAGCAAUUCUAGUUCAGUUAAGUCAGAAUAUCACUCACAAAUAAAAGAAGACACGUACUAAAAGACACAAGUCCAUGGGCCUAGCAUGAAUGAUAAAAGAUAACAACUGCAAAUGGCUGAAAAAAUAAAGCAUAAUCUCGAGGUAAAUAUCCAGACAUUCUUGCCGACUCAAGCAUAAGACUUUUCAAGUAGGAAAUCUUUCAUCAUACAAAGUAAUGAAGUUUUGUAAAUCAUACAAUAAACAUUUUAGAUAGUUUGAAGUGAAUGAUAAAUAUAAAAAGGAAGAUAAUGCACGCACAUGUGCUAGCUAGCUAGCACCAGUCUCUAGAGGAUAUUAUACAUCUUUAACACAAGCAUAUCAGCAGCAAAAAUCUCAUUAUAAUAUUAUAUUAGCUUCAAAUAUUUUGAGGUAUGAGUCAAGAUAUGGUGAUAAAAAUGCUAAAAUAGAUAAUCACCAAUUCCAAUCUAUGUAGCAAGAGACUCCACAUUAGAAUUUUUCAUACAUCACAGUCAUGAGUAACGGAUUGUAAGAUGUAACCAAGUGGAGGGAUAAAAAAACAAGAAAAGCUACCACAACUAGGGCAUGUCUUGCCACUUGUUCUUAUCUUCUGGCCUAUAGUCGCUAAAUGCGAACUUCUGUAUAGAUACAUCAUACAUAUAUAGGUGCAACUAUAGCAUAGAUGGGCCCUGCAAAAAUCUUAAAAUUAAAUCAUGCUAGAAAUUUGAUCACCAUGUAAACUGGUUGACACCUCCAUUGGAAGUGAACUAUUCACUAUUUUAGUUAACUUCCAGUGCAGAAAUUCUCACCAAAUUAAUACAUUGUUUAGCCUACCUAUAUAGCUCUAGGUAUAGAAGAUUAAUCUACUAGCCAGUCUACUAACUGAGGAAAGGUCUUCAAUCUAAACCUCCAAGAAUAGGACAGGACCUGAUUUGUACAAUCUCCACAAAUGUCGACAUUUAACGCCCCUCCAGAUGAAUAUUGACGUGCAUUCCCCCUUCUGGUAAAUACACAAUACAUCAGUUUUCUUUUCUUUUUCUAUUGUUUUAUUUUGCCCAAAUCAUCCUUGUAGAAUAAGUAUAACGGAUUCUCAAAUCAUUUUAAAGCAUCUGUUCAGCUUCAGCCUGUAAAAUUAUACAUUUCAAAGAUUCAAAAGGGGCAUAAAGAUAUACUGUAUCACAUCAACCUAAGUAGAUAAACUGUCUUUGCUGCUAGCUUGAUGUCGCUAGCUUGUCGUGUUCAAGAUAAAGAGAGAGGGAGGUUAAGGUUUGUAAUCUCACUCUACAAUUUCUAUGAAUAUAUCUCUUUUUUUGGACAAAAUAUCAUAUACUAUGUUUUUUGUUCUCUACAUUUCUCAUCCAACUAUAUUAAUGAAUUUAUCUUAAAAAGAUCUUUCAAGUGGUUCAACUGGGGUCCCCUCCCGUAAAGAACAUAGAUGAAAGAUGCUUUUGAUUGUGAUGCUUUAUUAGUUAACAACUUGUGAUCAUUUGUGUAUUCUAUUAUUAUAACAUUCUAUAACCUUAAAGUUAAGAAGUUAGCAAGAGCUAAUAAGAUCUUUUCUCUAUACACCCUCGGUUUUUAUCCUAGGGAGAUCUGAUGACACCUUUCAUAAACGUAAAAGGGAUUCCUUUUAGUAUAAAAUUACCAUCCUCACUCUAGUAUAUAUUUCUAAUGCAUAAUUCAUUUAUUUAGUUUUCCAAGUUGAAAAUAUACAUCAAUGUCGUUAAGUUUCCACCAUGGUGGUGGCGGUUUUUGAGGAUUCCGCCACUACCACGGCACCACCCCAUGGCAUGCAGUUUUUCUGUAUGGCGGCUGUGAUGGUGGAUAUGGCGGUGCCAUUGAAUUAUAUAUAUACAACUCACCCAAAAAUGUCAAGGUUUAGACUUGAACCCUAACCGCGCGACUUCACUAUCUCUCUCUCUAAUUUCUCAUCCAAUCUUUCUUGCUUCUUCACCGAAACCGCUGCCGACUCUCUCUAAUGCCACCAACACUGCAUCCGUUCCUCCGCUGCCCUCACUGGGGGAAGGGGAAGCUGUCCCCAAGACCCAUAAUAGGGUUAGAGGAGGAGAAAGACAUGAUAGUGUUAAAUGGAAUCGCCAAGGUCUCCUUAGGAAUAGGAGAGGACCAAUCAAAGGUGUUGGUGAGUUGAAGUGUUCGGAAAGUUGGAUGAGAAGGAUAAUGUGUUGGUGAGAUUCAUGAAGCAAGCAAAGGCGACAGCAGGAACACGAUGACUUUUGGCGUUGGAACUACGUAACUUGGACCAAGCCACAUACCCGAGUUGGUCACAAAAGAUCAAAGGUGCCCGAGAAGGGGUACGUGAAAAUUGAGAAGAAUAGCUCAAGAAAGGCACAACUAAAAAGGGUGUUCGGCUGAGCUCAUAAGCUGCUUAAAACAACUUAUAAGCUAUUUAAGAGUGCUUGGCAAAAUCGCCCUUUUGAUGGAAGGAGUAUUGUUCAUGGGAUUAAGUUCACCGCUUUUUAAAUUCUUCAUGGAUUUGGUGCACUUUUCCUUUGUGAGGGUUUGCCUUGGAGGGAGGGUUUUGUACUAUAGUUUUUUGUUAUAAACUACUUAUCCCCCCAAAGAAAUAAGCUCUAACUAGUUUAUAAGCUCACCAAAGACUAAUUUUCACAAUUCCACCAUAUUUUAUCAUGAUCUUAUAAGAAACAACAAAUUUACAACUAUAACUUCACUA